CCUGCCCGUCCCGCUGCGCGACCGCCGAGGGGUUUGUCCGCCGGGCCGGCGCUCCCGCUCCUUUCGCCGGUGGAGUGCCAAGGAGCCUUUGGAAUCAUGAUUCUAUUCUCCAGAUAGCAGAUGAUGGUCUCCCUCGAACUGGAGGAAGAGCGAAUGAACGCCCUGAGCGUAUUCCAUGCUAGGCCUAUCGGUGUGCCAGCAGCAUUUUUAGCCCAGAAGAAAAUGGAGGAAAACAUCUUAAAAUCAGUAGCCGCAUUGAUCUGCUCUAGACAGCCUCCUUCAUAGUACGGGUUGAUGGCCAUGCAUCUAGAAUGGUGGCAGCACCAAGACCAGAAAGGGAGUACAAGUUUGUAAAUGCAUGUCUGGUGCAAGAGACUGCUGGAGAUGACUCAGGUAACCAGAACUCGUUCUUUUCAAGACUCCUAUUAGGAGACUUCUGGAGAAUUAUCAGUAGGAAGGUUAAAGAGUUCCUCAACAAUCGCUUUCAUGUCAUUUAAUCCUAGAAUAACCCAAUUUCUAUGAAGUUUGCAAGAAGUCUGUUCAUAAUUCAUGUGGGGGGAUAAAUAAAAAUAAACCCGUGUUAUCCCAACCUCUGGAUCUCCUACUGUGUCUCUUUACAUGUGUCUUUUAUUCUUGUUUCACUCUGGCUUAAAAAAAAUGCUGAACUUCUUGUUAGCA